rnacentral:sRNA from 1 species
CACGACACUUCUCAUUUUGCUUAAUAAUCUUGUCUCGAAUCUGCUCAUGUAUCUUCUUGACAUCCUUGACCCUCUCAUCAUCAUAUCCACUAAAUUGUUACAUUGAAAUAAUGGGCGCCAAAUCCGAUGGGCUAAUUGGAUUGAGUCCAUACAAAGCUUCAAAAAGACUGCGACCGGUAGUUUGACUUGUAGAACGGUUAUAGGCAAACUCCAUAUGAGCUAGCAUAAGGUCCCACUGACGAAUAUUCUUACCCACAACUCUUCAACAAAUUGCCUAAGCUUCGAUUGAUAACUUCGGUCUGUCCAUCAGUUUACGGGUGAUGAGACGUGCUAAAAAGCAACUUUUGUACCAAGCUUUCUCCACAAAGUGUGCCAAAAGUGACUUGUAAACUUGGUAUCAGAAACAAUUAUUUUUGGUACACCAUGAAGUCGUACAAUCUCUCGUAAAUAUAGAUCAGCUACGUGUGAAGCAUCCAUGGUCCUAUUACGAGGAACAAAGUGUGCUAUCUUUGAAAAGCGAUCAACAACCACCAUGAUUGAAUCUUUGUUCCUUUGUAUUCCAGUAACCCCAAUACAAAAUCAAUGCUAACUUCCUCCCAUGGUGAACUUGGAACUGGUAAUGGAAUAUAUAAACCUGUGUUUUGCCCAUGACUUUUAGCUAUAUGACAAAUCUUGCAAUGCUCCAGAUGUCUCAUAAUGUCUCUCUCCAUUCUAGUCCAAUAAAAUCGUAAGGCCACUAAUAAAAGGGUUUUAUCACGUCCAAAAUUUCCAGCUAGGCCACCGCCAUGAGCUUCUAGGAUAAUCGCCUCUCGUAAUGAGCAUUAAGAAAUGUAUAAACGAUUAUCUUUGAACAAAUACCCAUCCUGUAACACAAAAUGAUUAAAUGGUCCCUUUAUACAUUCAGUUAGGAUAGCAUCAAAAUAUGGAUAACCUUAUAUAACUCUUUGAGAACUUCAAAGCCUAGGACCUUCACUUUCAUAGUACUGAGCAAUGAAUAUCUUCGACCUAGUGUAUCUGCCACUUUAUUUUUGACACCUGACUUGUGCUUAAUGGUAAAUGAAAAGGUUUGCAAAAAUUCCACCCAUUGAGCAUGUCGGCGAUUCAACUUGUGCUGCCCAUUGAUAUAUUUCAAUGCUUCAUGAUCAGAGAAGAGGACAAACUUUUUAGAUAAAAGAUAAUGACUCCAAUGCUCUAACGUUCAUACAAUAACAUAGAAUUCCUUAUCAUAUGUAGAUUAUUGCUUUCGAGAAUCACUCAACUUUUCAUUGAAAUAGGCAAUAGGCUUUCCUUCUUGACCGAGGAUUGCACCAAUUCCCACAUUCGAUGCAUCACAGUCUACUUCAAAGACAACUUCAAAAUUUGGCAACUUCAAGACAGGAGCUUCUUUAAAAACUCAAAAUUCUUUUGUGUUUCCCUAGUCCAAUCAACAACUCCACCCUUCAAACAAUCAAUGAUAGGAGAAAUAAUAGUACCAAAUUUUUUUAUAAAAUGAUGAUAAAAAGAAGCUAACCCAUUAAAACUUCGAAUAUCCUGAAUGGAGUUUGGAACAGACCAACUUGUGUUUGCCUCUACCUUGGAUCUAUCUUGAUUCCAUCACUUGAGACUACAAAGCCUAAGAAGAUCAAGCUCGUAGUGCAAAAGUGACAUUUUUUUAAAUUGAUGUAAAGCUUUUACUCUCGGAGUUUCUCAAAAACUUGAUGAAGAUGGAUCAAGUGCUGCUCAAUAUUCUUACUAUACACUAGAAUAUCGUCAAAGUAGACCACAACAAAUAAACCAAUAAAAUCUUUAAGCAUAUGAUUCAUGAAGCGUAUAAAAGUGCUUGGGGACAUUCGACAACCCAAAAGGCAUAAUGGUCCACUCAUACAAUCUAUCUUUAGUCUUGAAAGCAGUCUUUCACUCAUCUCCUAGCCUCAUUCAGAUCUGAUAAUAUCCGUUCCUGAGAUCAACCUUCGAAAAUAUAGAAGCACCAUGUAAUUGAUCAAGUCGUCAAGUCGUGAAUGGAAAAUCAGUACUUAAUCAUAAUCUUGUUCACUGCCCUACACGCUAGGAACCAUCCUUUUUAGGCACAAGAAGUGCUGGAAUUGCACAUGGGCUCAUACUUUUUUUCACGAACCCUUUUGCAAUCAAGUCAUCUACUUGCCUCUGUAACUCUUCUUGCUCCUUAGGGUUCAUUCUAUAAAUAGCAUUAUUUGGGAGGCUAGCAUCUCCUAUACUCUUUCGUACCUCAGUUUUUGUCAAGAAAUUAUUCCCUUCUCCUCUCAAAGGUUGGGGACCUUUCUCUAUUUUAAUAGGUCCUAACACAAUCUUCAUCCCAUCGUUCACAAACGAAUGUGUUUUUGAAUCCAUCAUACAUUACUCUUCUAUCAUAUUGCCAUGGACGAACAAGCAACAAGUGACAAGCAUCCAUAGGUAUAACAUCACAAUUUAACUCGUCGGAUUAUUUAGCGCCAAUAGAAAAUUGAGCAAGACAAUGCUUGCGAACUUUUACCUCAUUACCCUUGCGAAGCUAGGAAAGCUUGUAUGGUUGAGAAUGAUCUUCUAUUUUGAGCUUCAAUUUCUUUACCAUUAAUGCUGCAAUGACAUUCUCACAGCUUUCUCCAUCAACGAUUACACCACAAAUCUUGCCAUGGGAUGUACACCUUGUGUGGAAAAUAUUGUUGCAAAGCCAAUUGUCAUACUCUACAUGUGCUGUACUCAAGCUUCAGUAGACCAUCAAAGAUUUUCCAUGGUCAGCAUAGGUCACCUCCUCUUCUUCUUCCUUAUCAUAUGUUGGUUAGCCUGAAUCUUCAAUUUCACAUUCAUCCUCUUCUACGAAGGCAACAAUUUUAUGAUUAGGACAAUCUGAUGCAAUAUGGCCUAUACCUUGACAUUUGAAGCAUCGAUGACUAGUAAAAGAAUUGGAACGACUAGGAUUAACAGUGGAUGUUUUUAGCUUCAAACUAAUUUUUGAUGAUGACGGCUUGAUGUAAUUAUUUCUUGAAAGGUCUGUAUUCCCACGAUUAAAAUUAGUGUCAUGAUUCACGGCACAACAUGCUCCUCUACGAGGCUCCUGUAAUUGCUUCUCAACCUUAGCUGCAAGUUUACAUACAUCGUUGAAAGUCCAGUAGGGCUGUAGCUGUAUCACGUCACAGAUUUCAGUAUGUAACCCACCAAGAUAACCAGCUAUAGUUUGCUCUUCGAGCUCCUUAAUCUUAUACCGUAACAUCAGAUAUUCAAAUUUAGCAGUAUAGUUUUUAGUAGAUAAUUCAUUCUGCUUUAUAUUAUGAAACUUAAGGAAAGAAUCAUGCUUGUAGUUAUCUGGAAGAAAUUUCUUCUUCAGGGCUUUCGGUAUCUUCUCCCAUGUUAAAAUACGACUUUUCCCUUCAUGUGCCCACUGUUUCUUAAGAUGCUCCCACCAGAUCAAUGUGUGUCUCUUCAACUUUAUGGCUAGAAUUUUCACCAUGCGGUCUUCUGGCACAUCCUUGUACCCAAAGAUCAUUUUCAUUGCAUGCAACCAAUCAAUGAAUUCAUCUGGUAACAUUCUGUCUUCAAAUUCUGGAACAUCAACUUUGAUGUCGAAAUCUCGGUCAAACAUGAGAUUUCUUCGAGAACGAUUGGAUCCCGUCCUAUGAUCUCGAUAGAAAAGAUUAUCCUCUUCUUCAUCAUCACAUGAACGUUUCUCCUGAGAUUCCUGAUUUUGCGCUUCUUGUCUCACGGUUUGAAGAUAGGCCAAUUGUUGUUGAAGAUGUGCAAUGUUUCAUUCUCAAUAUCACGAUGAUCCCGUUCACGAUUUGGUCUUUCAACGUCAGGCCCACGUCAACCACGAUCUCGAUUAGCCAUAAUAACCUGGGGACUCUGAUACCAACUGAUGUUGGAAAAUCACAGCAACAAAACUAAUUCUGGGAAAAAAUAAUGACGGUUACGGGAUGUUAGCAAUCAUCACUCACAGACAGUU